rnacentral:rRNA from 1 species
GACGAACGCUGGCGGCGUGCUUAACACAUGCAAGUCGAACGGAAAGGCCCUGCUUUUGUGGGGUGCUCGAGUGGCGAACGGGUGAGUAACACGUGAGUAACCUGCCCUUGACUUUGGGAUAACUUCAGGAAACUGGGGCUAAUACCGGAUAGGAGCUCCUGCUGCAUGGUGGGGGUUGGAAAGUUUCGGCGGUUGGGGAUGGACUCGCGGCUUAUCAGCUUGUUGGUUGGGUAGUGGCUUACCAAGGCUUUGACGGGUAGCCGGCCUGAGAGGGUGACCGGCCACAUUGGGACUGCGAUACGGCCCAGACUCCUACGGGAGGCAGCGGUGGGGAAUAUUGCACAAUGGGCGGAAGCCUGAUGCAGCAACGCCGCGUUCGGGAUGACGGCCUUCGGGUUGUAAACCGCUUUCGCCUGUGACGAAGCGUGAGUGACGGUAAUGGGUAAAGAAGCACCGGCUAACUACGUG